rnacentral:rRNA from 1 species
ACUGCGAGUGACCACUCACGAAAGUGAGCUUCCGCAAGGACACUCGUAGAGGUGCUGCAUGGCUGUCGUCAGCUCGUGUCGUGAGAUGAUAAAAAAAAGUACCGCAACGAGCGCAACCCUUGUUUGCUGUUGCCAUCAGGUUAUGCUGGGCACUCUGCAAAGACCUGCCGGUGAUAAACCGGAGGGAAGGUGGGGAUGACGUCAAGUCAGCAUGGCCUUUAUGUCUGGGGCCACACACGUGCUACAAUGGCCGACACAAACCGUCGCGAUACCGCAAGGUGGAGCUAAUCGGAGAAAGUCGGUCUCAGUUCGGAUCGUAGUCUCGUGUUUAUGCCUGCGUGAAGUUGGAAUCGCUAGUAAUCGCGGAUCAGCACGCCGCGGUGAAUAC